GUAGGGAAUCUUCCACAAUGGACGCAAGUCUGAUGGAGCAACGCCGCGUGAGUGAAGAAGGUUUUCGGAUCGUAAAGCUCUGUUGUUGGUGAAAGAAGGAUAGAGGCAGUAACUGGUCUUUAUUUGACGGUAAUCAACCAGAAAGUCACGGCUAACUACGUGCCAGCAGCCGCGGUAAUACGUAGGUGGCAAGCGUUGUCCGGAUUUAUUGGGCGUAAAGCGAGCGCAGGCGGAAUGAUAAGUCUGAUGUGAAAGCCCACGGCUCAACCGUGGAACUGCAUCGGAAACUGUCAUUCUUGAGUGCAGAAGAGGAGAGUGGAACUCCAUGUGUAGCGGUGGGAUGCGUAGAUAUAUGGAAGAACACCAGUGGCGAAGGCGGCUCUCUGGUCUGCAACUGACGCUGAGGCUCGAAAGCAUGGGUAGCGAACAGGAUUAGAUACCCUGGUAGUCCAUGCCGUAAACGAUGAGCGCUAGGUGUUGGGGACUUUCCGGUUCUCAGUGCCGCAGCAAACGCAUUAAGCGCUCCGCCUGGGGAGUACGACCGC
rnacentral:rRNA from 1 species